CACGUAGGAGGCGAGCGUUGUCCGGAAUCAUUGGGCGUAAAGAGCUCGUAGGCGGUUGCGUAAGUCGGAUGUGAAAACUCAGGGCUCAACCCUGAGACGCCAUCCGAUACUGCGCUGACUUGAAUCCAGUAGGGGAGUGUGGAAUUCCUGGUGUAGCGGUGAAAUGCGCAGAUAUCAGGAGGAACACCUAUGGCGAAGGCAGCACUCUGGGCUGGUAUUGACGCUGAGGAGCGAAAGCAUGGGUAGCAAACAGG
rnacentral:rRNA from 1 species